AAGCGGCGAGCAGAAGCUGACCAACUGGAAGAUGGACACCCUGCGGGUGAAAGCGCCCUCGGAUUCGACCUGGGCGCCCCUCUAGGGCACAGCGGGUGCCUGCGUCAGACACCUCCCCGGCACAGGGAGUGGGGAGAACGGAGGGCGCGCCUGCGCAGGCCCCUCGGUCUGGGCAGCCGUUCCCCCAAAAGGAGGCCUGUGUCGGAAGGGGGCCCAGCCCCUGCUGGGCAGCCCACGUGGCCCUGCCCUCCCCCGCCACCAGCUGGCCCUGCCCGCGGUUCUCAGGGACGCUGCUGCCGUGGACCUGCUACGCCUUUGGCCUCCGUCCUCACUGACCCACUGGACCCACACCUGCCCCGGCCCCACAGCCUUGGCAAGUCCCUCCAGUUCUUGAAAGUGGUGUCCACUGGGGCCCUGCGGGCCUGCGGGCCUGGAGCAGCGAGGUGGGGACAGGCUCCCAGCCGCGGGGCCUCCCUGCCCUGGACAGCACAGGCCAGCCUUCCCGUGUCCACAGAGGCCUCUGCUGCCUGCUGGGGGCCCUGGGUCUGGGCCACAGGCUCUGAGCCGGGUUGGGACCCCCCACUCACCGUCUGGUGCCCAAGGGUGCUGGGGAAGAAAGGGGCCUGGCUGUCCCCGCUAGGGACCUGUGGUGUGAAGAGUUGGGGCCCAGCUGCCUGGGCCUCCGCUGGGCCCGCAGGGCGGCCUUGUCCCCGGCCACACAGGUGGCUUCUGCGUGGGGCUCUUCCUCUUCUGAGGUCACGGCAGGUGCUUGGGGGGUACGGGCACCCCCGGGGCAGGGCAGUGGCGGUGCUUGGGCAGACGAGCCCAUGGCAGUCUGUGUGCCCGGGAGCUCCAAGCGCAGCGCCCAAGGCCUCUCUCUGGGCGGUGUCUGGCCGGUGGCUGACCGCAGGGCCUGCCCUGGACCCAGAAGCUCGGGAAGCCCUGGGGAGGGGGCACGAGUCUGCCCCCCAGCCCAGAAGGGAGCUGUCCUCAGCGCGGGGGUCUCGGUGCUGGGCACCCACUCGGGUUAGCCCCAGGCCUGGGUGCUGCCAUAACCUGCAUGCUGGGUGAGGCUGUGACUGGCUUCAGGGAGUCACUUGCCAAGGGAAGGACUCCAGAACAGUGUGGACCGGCCUCUUGCGCUUUCUGUGGGAGGAAGCCCUAGGCGCCCACCUGCCCACCGCUGACUCGGAGCUGGGUGGGGGUGGGCCUAACGCCCAGGGCCCGGGUCGGGUAUGAGCCCCCGGCACAGCCUCCCUGUCUGAUGCAGAUACGUAGGUGGAAGCCCGCCCGCCCAAGACUCACCGUUGGUCAGAGUUCGGGGAGAGCGGCAGGUUUUGUUCACCCUCUUGGUGAUUCUCUCACCCACCCGGGGCCCGCCUGAGGCUGUCGGGGGCCGGCGGAG
rnacentral:lncRNA from 1 species